GUCUCUUCGGAGACAUCCAAUAAAUUUGGGACAAUACAGAGAAAAUUAGCAUGCCCCUUGCGCAAGGAUGACACGCACAAAUCGAGAAAUGGUCUUUUAUCAU
rfam:Musa acuminata subsp. malaccensis Doubled-haploid Pahang (DH-Pahang) genomic chromosome, chr9